AGAGAGAGAGAGAGAGAGAGAGAGAGAUUUGUAUAUGUAGUCACCCUUACAAGUGCUUUAGAAUUUCCUAUUAGACCAGACAAGUCCUGAGAAGGGAAGGUAGGUCCCCUGCCUAUGACAUAUACGUUUGGAAUUCCCAGGAAAGAAUUUAUAAGCAGUUCGACGGCUCUCUUGAUAACAGCAAGCCAUUUUAUGUGAAUCAUUUCACCCUUUUAAAAUAAAUACAGCAUAUGCUUGUGGAAAGAGCUUGUUGAUGUUUAUGGAAAUACUGUACAACUUACAUAGGUUGCAUUCAUUUCUAAGCAUAUGACUUGAGUUAGAGAAAUGUAGUCAUUAUAUAAUACCACUUCCAGUAACAUCCAACAUCUCUAUCAAACCAAAAUGGAAUUUGGAGCUCAAAUGGCCCUCAUGCCUACUCCCAAAGGUGAUCUAGUGACUUAUAGAAAUAGAGCAGAACCCAGUCAUCUCCCCAGAUUUUUAUGCAAAUGGUCUCGAUCCUUCUGGGGAUGAGCAGAGGUACCCUAGAGUAGCCAUUUUGAGACCCAUAAUUUUCUGGGUUUCAGCUGAGAAGUGGGAGAGAGAUACGGUAAGGUGACCAUUUUGCCUUCUGCCCUAAAGCUUCCCUUUCUCCCAAGGAUGACCUGUGACCCUUAGCACUCCUUUAUACUUCUAGAUCAGCACUGUUCAGGAGAAGCUCAAUGUGGAGUGUGGGUGUGGGAUGUGGGGGUGUGUGGUGGUGGUGGUGGCAGCUGCUACAGAAGUGAUUUUGAAUUUUCUACCACAAUUUACAUUCACAUGUUUGCUGACAUCUUUCAUCAGUGUGGCUCUGGCACACUGGAUCCCUACAUGGCGAUAUGAUCACAGCUCAGCUGAGUCCUGAGCUUCUUUAUACUUCUUCACUGAAAUAAGGGGCCAGCUCUAAGGUUGUUCCCUACCUGUUAUUGCUACAGUAGCUUUCUACAUCAGGUUCUCUCUGUCUCUCUCUUUCUUCUUGUUCUUGUUCUUGUUCUUGUUCUUGUUCUUCUCCUUCUCCUUCUCCUUCCUUCUCCUUCUCCCUCUGCUUCUCCUUCCUUCCUUCCUUUCUUCCUUCCU